rnacentral:rRNA from 1 species
GAUGAACGCUGGCGGCGUGCCUAAUACAUGCAAGUCGAGCGAACAGAUGAGGAGCUUGCUCCUCUGACGUUAGCGGCGGACGGGUGAGUAACACGUGGAUAACCUACCUAUAAGACUGGGAUAACUUCGGGAAACCGGAGCUAAUACCGGAUAAUAUAUUGAACCGCAUGGUUCAAUAGUGAAAGACGGUUUUGCUGUCACUUAUAGAUGGAUCCGCGCCGCAUUAGCUAGUUGGUAAGGUAACGGCUUACCAAGGCAACGAUGCGUAGCCGACCUGAGAGGGUGAUCGGCCACACUGGAACUGAGACACGGUCCAGACUCCUACGGGAGGCAGCAGUAGGGAAUCUUCCGCAAUGGGCGAAAGCCUGACGGAGCAACGCCGCGUGAGUGAUGAAGGUCAUCGGAUCGUAAAACUCUGUUACUAGGGAAGAACAAAUGUGUAAGUAACUAUGCACGUCUUGACGGUACCUAAUCAGAAAGCCACGGCUAACUACGUG